AUGAAGUUUAGAGUUGUUUGCAGGAAGGUGUACGAUUACGUGAGGUACGAUCUGAAAGAGAUCGCCUUCCCGUCUUCUCUGCCGGACCCUCCGGGCACCAAGAGGCGCCCUAAACUCACACUGAAAGAAAAAUGGUGUAUCCUCAAGGAGGCAUCUAGGCUGUAUGGGGCUUCCUGGGUCAGGGACAUCGGUCCAGAGCUCAGGCCGAAUGAUUACAAGAAGGCCAAAAAGGAAUCUGAUCCCAACAUUACUGACGAGGGUAACACUAAAACUGAACCUACUGUGCUUGAGGACCUCGCGGUGGCAGCGAGGGGUGGGGCCGAGACUCUGAAGCCUGCGCUGCGGCGCAUAUACAUGACCCGCGCCUCAACCUACACAAGUGCAGUGAAGAACUAUGUGGAGACCUAUCAGGAAGGGCUGAAGGAUGUGUUGGACGAGAAGGCUGGAAACGGUCACCAGCAAGGCAAUGAGCCGAUGAGAUCAUCGACGUCGCCUCCGCCCCCGCAAUCAUCAUCAUGA
rnacentral:rRNA from 1 species